AAGCCAGACUCCUACGGGAGGCAGCAGUGAGGAAUAUUGGUCAAUGGGAGAGAUCCUGAACCAGCCAAGCCGCGUGAGGGAAGACGGCCCUAUGGGUUGUAAACCUCUUUUGUCGGAGAACAAAACCCGGGACGUGUCCCGGACUGCGUGUAUCCGAAGAAAAAGCAUCGGCUAACUCCGUGCCAGCAGCCGCGGUAAUACGGAGGAUGCGAGCGUUAUCCGGAUUUAUUGGGUUUAAAGGGUGCGUAGGCGGACGCUUAAGUCAGCGGUAAAAUUGCGGGGCUCAACCUCGUCGAGCCGUUGAAACUGGGUGUCUUGAGUGGGCGAGAAGUAUGCGGAAUGCGUGGUGUAGCGGUGAAAUGCAUAGAUAUCACGCAGAACUCCGAUUGCGAAGGCAGCAUACCGGCGCCCAACUGACGCUGAAGCACGAAAGCGUGGGUAUCGAACAGGAUUAGAUACCCCAGUA
rnacentral:rRNA from 1 species